UCAAAGACCUGGCUUUCUUGGAAGACCACGGCACCAAGGACAUGGUAUUCACGAAGCUAACAGCAGAGGUGGUGAUGAUGGAGGAAGAGGCAAGUGACAGUGGCACACUCAAUGAGGGCCAGGCAGGUGACAGUGGCACACUGACUGAGGGCCAGGCAGAGGUUGACAGAAGCCCAGAGGAAGAGAGAGAUGAUGUCCCCCCCAAGAAGACAGCCUUGAACCAGAUGUUUGGGGAUUUCCUCACUGCGAGAGCACCAAUGAAGACCACAAGGGAGAGGGCUAGGGCAGAAAUCUUAAAGUA